CCUACGGGAGGCAGCAGUCGAGAAUCAUUCACAAUGGGGGAAACCCUGCUGGUGCGACGCCGCGUGGGGGAAUGAAGGUCUUCGGAUUGUAAACCCCUGUCAUGUGGGAGCAAAUUAAAAAGAUAGUACCACAAGAGGAAGAGACGGCUAACUCUGUGCCAGCAGACUCGGUAAUACGGAGGUCUCAAGCGUUGUUCGGAAUCACUGGGCGUAACGCGUGCGUAGGCUGUUUCGUAAGUCGUGUGUGAAAGGCGCGGGCUCAACCCGCGGACGGCACAUGAUACUGCGAGACUAGAGUAAUGGAGGGGAGACCGGAAUUCUAGGUGUAGCAGUGAAAUGCGUAGAUAUCGAGAGGAACACUCGUGGCGAAGGCGAGUUCCUGGACAUUAACUGACGCUGAGGCACGAAGGCGAGGGGAGCGAAAGGGAUUAGAUACCCCUGUAGUC
rnacentral:rRNA from 1 species